rnacentral:rRNA from 1 species
UCCGGCGGCUAUAGCGGCGGGGAAACACCUCUUCCCAUUCCGAACAGAGAAGUUAAGCCCGCCAGCGCCGAUGGUACUGCUCGGGCGACCGUGUGGGAGAGUAGGUCGCCGCCGGGA